UACGUAGGGAGCUAGCGUUGUUCGGAAUUACUGGGCGUAAAGGGCGCGUAAGCGGCUCGACAAGUUGGAUGUGAAAGCCCUGGGCUCAACCCGGGAAUUGCAUUCAAGACUGUCUUGCUCGAAUUCGGUAGAGGUUGGUGGAAUUCCCAGUGUAGAGGUGAAAUUCGUAGAGAUUGGGAGGAACACCCGUGGCGAUGGCGGCCAACUGGACCGACAUUGACGCUGAGGCGCGAAAGCGUGGGGAUCAAACAGG
rnacentral:rRNA from 1 species